AGCUUGUGAAGUCUGUAGCUAAAUCUCAGGAACAGAAAUGUUGAGAAGGGUAGACUGAUGACUACCCCUCAGUGGAAACAGACCAGAUCUCAGCUUAUCUGGCUGGAAGGAAAGCAAAAAAAACAAAGCAAAACAAACCAAAAAAUCCUAAGAAACAAAAGACAGAUUCAAGCCAAUCUGUGAUUUGUAAAAUAAGCAAGGUGCAGGCUUGUAUACUGGGCCACAUGGUGACUUGGAUUUUUAAGGGUUACACACAUGAGGCAACUACAAUCCAGAGGAAUUUGUGACUAUCCUCAGAGGGCACAGCCAUUGAUGCCUCUUUCACUCUGCCCAUUAUGUCCCACUGAACAGCUUGGGUGUCAGAGCCAGCCAUUUUGCUCUGUGAGGAAGUAAUUUUGCAGUUGAAUUGGACCUGGUUGCAUUUUCUAGUCUCUGCUUUCUCCAAAUAUCCCAGUACUUAGUUUUUGCUCUGGUUGAAAAAAAAAAAAAAAAAAACAAAACCUACACUAAUGGACCAUUUGGAAAAGACAGCUCCCGGGAAAGGAACUGACAGGGAGAGAAUGUGGAUGUGACUCGGCUGCAUAAACGUCAUGCGAACAUUUGCAGAUUGCUUAACCUGGCAAGAUUUAGUUUCCUUACCUCUCAAAUAAAGAUCGUAAUUUUUUAUCUGCC